UACCCUUCAAGCUUUGCUUGGUGUUGGGCGUCUUUGUCUCCGCCUCAGCGUGGAGACUCGCCUCAAAAUCAUCGGCGUAGGUAGUCGGCCUAGAGCGCAGCAGAGUUCGCGUCUCGAAGCUUGUCCAUCCGCCCGCCGCAACCAACCCAUCCAUU
rnacentral:misc_RNA from 1 species